rnacentral:misc_RNA from 1 species
GAAAUGCGAUAAGUAAUGUGAAUUGCAGAAUUCAGUGAAUCAUCGAAUCUUUGAACGCACAUUGCGCCCGCCAGUAUUCUGGCGGGCAUGCCUGUCCGAGCGUCAUUUCAACCCUCGAACCCCUCCGGGGGGUCGGCGUUGGGGAUCGGCCCUUUACCGGCCGGCCCCGAAAUACAGUGGCGGUCUCGCCGCAGCCUCUCCUGCGCAGUAGUUUGCACACUCGCACCGGGAGCGCGGCGCAGUCCAAUGCCGUAAAACACCCAACUUUCUGAAAUGUUGACCUCGGAUCAGGUAGGAAUACCCGCUGAACUUAA